ensembl:snRNA U6 U6 spliceosomal RNA
GUGUUUGCUUCGGCAGCGCAUGUGUUAAUCAGAACCAUACAGAGGAGAUGGGUGUGGUCACUGUACAAGGACAGCAGGCAAAUUCAUGAGGCACUCCAUGGUUUU